rnacentral:rRNA from 1 species
UACGUAGGGGGGCAAGCGUUGUCCGGAUUUAUUGGGCGUAAAGAGCGUGUAGGCGGCCAGAUAGGUCCGUUGUGAAAACUCGAGGCUCAACCUCGAGACGCCGAUGGAAACCAUCUGGCUAGAGUCCGGAAGAGGAGAGUGGAAUUCCCGGUGUAGCGGUGAAAUGCGCAGAUAUCGGGAAGAACACCCGUGGCUAAGGCGGCUCUCUAGUACGGUACUGACGCUGAGACGCGAAAGCGUGGGGAGCAAACAGG